UACAGAGGGGGCAAGCGUUGUUCGGAAUUACUGGGCGUAAAGGGCGCGUAGGCGGCCCGCUAAGUCGAACGUGAAAUCCCCGGGCUCAACCCGGGAACUGCGUCCGAUACUGGUGGGCUCGAAUCCGGGAGAGGGAUGCAGAAUUCCAGGUGUAGCGGUGAAAUGCGUAGAUAUCUGGAGGAAUACCGGUGGCGAAGGCGGCAUCCUGGACCGGCAUUGACGCUGAGGCGCGAAAGCUGGGGGAGCAAACGGGG
rnacentral:rRNA from 1 species